AUUGAACGCUGGCGGCAGGCCUAACACAUGCAAGUCGAACGAGUGGCGGACGGGUGAGUAAUGUAUGGGAAACUGCCAGAUGGAGGGGGAUAACUACUGGAAACGGUAGCUAAUACCGCAUACCAUCAGAUGUACCCAGAUGGGAAUAGCUUGUUGGUGGGGUAAAGGCUCACCAAGGCGACGAUCCCUAGCUGGUCUGAGAGGAUGACCAGCCACACGGGAACUGAGACACGGUCCAGACUCCUACGGGAGGCAGCAGUGGGGAAUAUUGCACAAUGGGCGCAAGCCUGAUGCAGCCAUGCCGCGUGUAUGAAGAAGGCCUUCGGGUUGGAAAGUACUUUCAGCGGGGAGGCGUUACCCGCAGAAGAAGCACCGGCUAACUCCGUGCCAGCAGCCGCGGUAAUUC
rnacentral:rRNA from 1 species